GUGCUCACUUUGACAGCACAUGUGUUAAAAUGGAAACAAUAGAUUAGCUUGGCCCUUGUACGAAGAAUGCAUGCAAAUCUGAGGAGCAUGUCUUAUUUUU
ensembl:snRNA LOC120093925 U6 spliceosomal RNA